CUGAACCAGCCAAGUAGCGUGAAGGAUGACUGCCCUAUGGGUUGUCCCCUUCUUUUAUAAAGGAAUAAAGUUGUCCACGUGUGGAUUUUUGUAUGUACCCCCUGAAUAAGGAUCGGCUAACUCCGUGCCAGCAGCCGCGGUAAUACGGAGGAUCCGAGCGUUAUCCGGAUUUAUUGGGUUUAAAGGGAGCGUAGGCGGAUUGUUAAGUCAGUUGUGAAAGUUUGCGG
rnacentral:rRNA from 1 species